UCAAGCGAACAAGUGCAUGUGGUGGAUGCCUUGGCGAUCACAGGCGAUGAAGGACGCGGUAGCCUGCGAAAAGCGGAGGGGAGCUGGCAAACGAGCUUUGAUCCUCCGAUAUCCGAAUGGGGAAACCCGGCCCGUAUGGGUCAUCCAUGACUGAAUACAUAGGUCAUGUGAAGCGAACGCGGUGAACUGAAACAUCUAAGUAACCGCAGGAAAAGAAAUCAACCGAGAUUCCCAGAGUAGUGGCGAGCGAAAUGGGACCAGCCUGUACUCUUUAUUCUUAUUGUUAGUCGAAAGCUCUGGAAAGUGCUGCCAUAGCAGGUGAUAGCCCUGUAGACGAAAACAGUUUGAAAGAACUAGGUGUACGACAAGUAGGGCGGGACACGUGAAAUCCUGUCUGAAGAUGGGGGGACCAUCCUCCAAGGCUAAAUACUCGUGAUCGACCGAUAGUGAACCAGUACCGUGAGGGAAAGGCGAAAAGAACCCCGGGAGGGGAGUGAAAUAGAUCCUGAAACCGCAUGCAUACAAACAGUCGGAGCCUUCGCAAGGGGGUGACGGCGUACCUUUUGUAUAAUGGGUCAGCGACUUACAUUCAGUGGCAAGCUUAACCGAUUAGGGCAGGCGUAGCGAAAGCGAGUCCGAACAGGGCGUUCAGUCGCUGGGUGUAGACCCGAAACCAGGUGAUCUAUCCAUGGCCAGGAUGAAGGUGCGGUAACACGUACUGGAGGUCCGAACCCACUAACGUUGAAAAGUUAGGGGAUGAGCUGUGGAUAGGGGUGAAAGGCUAAACAAACCUGGAAAUAGCUGGUUCUCUCCGAAAACUAUUUAGGUAGUGCCUCGUGUAUCACCUUCGGGGGUAGAGCACUGUCAUGGUUGUGGGGUCCAUUGCGGAUUACUACGCCAUAGCAAACUCCGAAUACCGAAGAGUGCAAUCACGGGAGACAGACAUCGGGUGCUAACGUCCGGUGUCAAGAGGGAAACAACCCAGACCGCCAGCUAAGGUCCCCAAAUAUUGCUAAGUGGGAAACGAAGUGGGAAGGCUAAAACAGUCAGGAGGUUGGCUUAGAAGCAGCCAUCCUUUAAAGAAAGCGUAAUAGCUCACUGAUCGAGUCGUCCUGCGCGGAAGAUGUAACGGGGCUAAGCAAUAUACCGAAGCUGCGGAUGCACAUUUAUGUGCAUGGUAGGAGAGCGUUCCGUAAGCCUGCGAAGGUGCAUUGAAAAGUGUGCUGGAGGUAUCGGAAGUGCGAAUGCUGACAUGAGUAGCGAUAAAGGGGGUGAAAGGCCCCCUCGCCGUAAGCCCAAGGUUUCCUACGCAACGUUCAUCGGCGUAGGGUGAGUCGGCCCCUAAGGCGAGGCAGAAAUGCGUAGCUGAUGGGAAGCAGGUUAAUAUUCCUGCACCAUUGUUAAAUGCGAUGGGGGGACGGAUCGCGGAAGGUUGUCCGGGUGUUGGAAGUCCCGGUCCUUGCAUUGGAGAAGGCGCUUAGGCAAAUCCGGGCGCGGAAUUCAAGGGUGCGAGGCCAUUCACUUCGGUGAAGAAGCAAUCGGAAGUGGUUCCAAGAAAAGCCUCUAAGCUUCAGUUUAACAAGACCGUACCGCAAACCGACACAGGUGGGCGAGAUGAGUAUUCUAAGGCGCUUGAGAGAACUCGGGAGAAGGAACUCGGCAAAUUGGUACCGUAACUUCGGGAUAAGGUACGCCCCUGUAGCUUGAUGCCCCUGCGGGCAAAGGGUGAAGGGGUUGCAAUAAACUGGUGGCUGCGACUGUUUAAUAAAAACACAGCACUCUGCAAACACGAAAGUGGACGUAUAGGGUGUGACGCCUGCCCGGUGCCGGAAGAUUAAAUGAUGGGGUGCAAGCUCUUGAUUGAAGUCCCGGUAAACGGCGGCCGUAACUAUAACGGUCCUAAGGUAGCGAAAUUCCUUGUCGGGUAAGUUCCGACCUGCACGAAUGGCGUAACGAUGGCCACACUGUCUCCUCCCGAGACUCAGCGAAGUUGAAGUGUUUGUGAUGAUGCAAUCUCCCCGCGGCUAGACGGAAAGACCCCAUGAACCUUUACUGUAGCUUUGCAUUGGACUUUGAACCGAUCUGUGUAGGAUAGGUGGGAGGCUAUGAAGCGUGGACGCCAGUCUGCGUGGAGCCGUCCUUGAAAUACCACCCUGGUUUGUUUGAGGUUCUAACCUUGGCCCGUGAUCCGGGUCGGGGACAGUGCAUGGUAGGCAGUUUGACUGGGGCGGUCUCCUCCCAAAGUGUAACGGAGGAGUACGAAGGUACGCUAGGUACGGUCGGAAAUCGUGCUGAUAGUGCAAUGGCAUAAGCGUGCUUAACUGCGAGACCGACAAGUCGAGCAGGUGCGAAAGCAGGUCAUAGUGAUCCGGUGGUUCUGUAUGGAAGGGCCAUCGCUCAACGGAUAAAAGGUACUCUGGGGAUAACAGGCUGAUACCGCCCAAGAGUUCAUAUCGACGGCGGUGUUUGGCACCUCGAUGUCGGCUCAUCUCAUCCUGGGGCUGUAGCCGGUCCCAAGGGUAUGGCUGUUCGCCAUUUAAAGAGGUACGUGAGCUGGGUUUAAAACGUCGUGAGACAGUUUGGUCCCUAUCUGCCGUGGGCGUUGGAUAUUUGAAGGGGGCUGCUCCUAGUACGAGAGGACCGGAGUGGACGAACCUCUGGUGUACCGGUUGUCACGCCAGUGGCAUCGCCGGGUAGCUAUGUUCGGAAGAGAUAACCGCUGAAAGCAUCUAAGCGGGAAACUCGCCUUAAGAUGAGAUAUCCCCGGGGCUUCGAGCCCCUUGAAGGGUCGUUCAAGACCAGGACGUUGAUAGGUCAGGUGUGGAAGCGCAGUAAUGCGUUAAGCUAACUGAUACUAAUUGCCCGUAAGGCUUGAUCC
rnacentral:rRNA from 1 species